UACGGCGUCACUAUUACUAGCAUGAGAAGAAAUGAAAAACUACCAAGAUAUUGGAACUGAGAAACAGAGCAAAAGUUCUUCCGACUUCAGCAUAGAUGUUUAAAGUGAGAAAGAAUGCAUGUGUUCAUAAUGAAAAAAUGUGACAUCCCAAUUUUUGCUGGACAUCAGAUUUAGGGUCAACAAACCUUAUUUGCCUAUAGCAGCAGGAGAUCUUUCUAUUCAACAUGCCUGGCUUUUGGUGAUAUUUUUUGCAGUGACUGGCCUGUCGAUCGUUGCUUCAAACUUUGGAUCAUUCAUUACUUCUCUUUACAGUCUGGGUCUUUUUCUUGGAACCAUCUAUUCUGUUCCUCCUUUUAGGAUGAAGAGAUUUCCUGUUGCAGCAUUUCUUAUUAUUGCCACGGUAUAUUUUCUUCCUUAUUUUUCUAAAAAUUGAAUAGUUUAAAGUCGCUUCAUCUUUUUGUGCCUUGCUGAAAGAUUAUGGCUGUACAACCUGAUGAGCUUUGCUUUGGGUAGAAACUUUCUUCGCUACUUUCUUCUUUUAGUAUUUUUUGCGGACUAGCAUCUUUCCUUCGGUUAUAUUUUUCAAUUAUAUGGCA